rnacentral:rRNA from 1 species
CCCUUAGAUGUUCUGGGCUGCACGCGUGCUACAAUGGCGCUUGCAACAAGUCUUGCCAACCCGAUAGGGUGAGCGGAUCUUUGAAGAGGCGUCGUGAUCGGGACAGUUGAUUGCAAUUAUUCGACUCGAACGAGGAAUUCCUUGUAAUCGCGAUUCAUCAUAUCGCGCUGAAUACGUCCCUGCCCUUUGUACACACCGCCCGUCGCUCCUACCGAUUGAGCGAUCCGGCGAAUGUUUUGGACUGGCGUCAGAAGCGGUUCGCUCCUGACACUACGAAAUUUUGUAAACCUUAUCGCUUAGAGGAAGGAAAAGUCGUAACA